GCGGGAGUGGCGAAAUUGGUAGACGCGCAGGACUUAGGAUCCUGUGCCGCAAGGCGUGUGGGUUCGAGUCCCACCUCUCGCA
rnacentral:tRNA from 1 species